AGGGUUUGAUCCUGGGCUCAGAUUGAACGCUGGCGGCAUGCUUUACACAUGCAAGUCGAACGGUAACGCGGGCUUUGGCCUGGCGACGAGUGGCGAACGGGUGAGUAGAACAUCGGAACGUAUCCUGGAGUGGGGGAUAGCCCGGCGAAAGCCGGAUUAAUACCGCAUGAGCUCUGAGGAGGAAAGCGGGGGAACCGCAAGGACCUCGCGCUGUUGGAGCGGCCGAUGCCGGAUUAGCUUGUUGGUGAGGUAAAGGCUCACCAAGGCUGCGAUCCGUAGCUGGUCUGAGAGGAUGAUCAGCCACACUGGAACUGAGACACGGUCCAGACUCCUACGGGAGGCAGCAGUGGGGAAUUUUGGACAAUGGGGGCAACCCUGAUCCAGCCAUGCCGCGUGCGGGAAGAAGGCCUUCGGGUUGUAAACCGCUUUCGGCCGGAACGAAAUGGUGCAGGUUAAUACCCUGUAUUGAUGACGGUACCGGAAGAAGAAGCACCGGCUAACUACGUGCCAGCAGCCGCGGUAAUACGUAGGGUGCGAGCGUUAAUCGGAAUUACUGGGCGUAAAGCGUGCGCAGGCGGCUUUUUAAGACAGGUGUGAAAUCCCCGGGCUUAACCUGGGAAUGGCGCUUGUGACUGGAAGGCUAGAGUGCGGCAGAGGGGGAUGGAAUUCCUGGUGUANCANNGAAAUGCGUANAUAUCAGAGGAACACCGAUGGCGAAGGCAGUCCCUGGGUCGACACUGACGCUCAGGCCGAAAGCGUGGGGAGCAACAGGAUUAAAUGCCCUGGUA
rnacentral:rRNA from 1 species